CCUACGGGGGGCUGCAGUGGGGAAUAUUGGACAAUGGGCGAAAGCCUGAUCCAGCCAUGCCGCGUGUGUGAAGAAGGCCUUCGGAUUGUAAAGCACUUUCAGUGGGGAAGAAAGCCUUGGGGCUAAUACCCUCGAGGAAGGACAUCACCCACAGAAGAAGCACCGGCUAACUCCGUGCCAGCAGCCGCGGUAAUACGGAGGGUGCGAGCGUUAAUCGGAAUUACUGGGCGUAAAGCGCGCGUAGGCGGUCUGAUAAGCCGGUUGUGAAAGCCCCGGGCUCAACCUGGGAACGGCAUCCGGAACUGUCAGGCUAGAGUGCAGGAGAGGAAGGUAGAAUUCCCGGUGUAGCGGUGAAAUGCGUAGAGAUCGGGAGGAAUACCAGUGGCGAAGGCGGCCUUCUGGACUGACACUGACGCUGAGGUGCGAAAGCGUGGGUAGCAAACAGGAUUAGAUACCCUUGUAGUC
rnacentral:rRNA from 1 species